rnacentral:tRNA from 1 species
GCCUGUUUGGGAGAGUGGUCUAAUCCGUUGGUCUUAAGUACCAAUGUACUUCGGUACGCGCAGGUUCAAACCCUGCAGCAGGCA